GGAUGCGAUCAUACCAGCACUAAAGCACCGGAUCCCAUCAGAACUCCGAAGUUAAGCGUGCUUGGGCGAGAGUAGUACUAGGGUGGGUGACCUCCUGGGAAGUCCUCGUGUUGCAUCCC
rfam:Oryza sativa Indica Group cultivar 93-11 Ctg048486, whole genome shotgun sequence.